rnacentral:lncRNA from 1 species
GUUGAUAAUGGGAAUUAGAGCCUAAUUUGCAAUUUGGAAUUUUGAGUAAGAGAAGGAAAAUACUAUAUGUUGGGGGCCUUUCUCUUCCGAAUGUCCUAAAAAACGUGAUUAAUAUGUUUUCAGUGUAACAUAGACUGCUACAGGAGGCUUCGGCUUUGGGAUGAAGGUAUGCGUGAUAUGGAGAUAUAACCCGAAGGCAGGAUGAACGGACGCUGAAGCUGUGGCUGAAGGAGCUUCGUCUUAGUAUAAUGAUGAAGGUGGAAGAUGAAACCGACCUAAAGGGGAAAAACUACUUAGUCCUUGAUAGCCCGCCUUAUGAUUAUCAGUAAAUAUCAGGGACAUGAAUGUAAUUUUAUCCGGACUGCGCCACGUGCUUAUAAAUAGAUGAACAGUAACACCAUACUGUUCACGCUGAAUGGUAAUCACUCUCGCGUCACUCUUGCAUUUUCACCUUCUGGCAAGCCGAAGGUAUUGAUGUAAUAUAAAUACCAUUGAUGUUUAUCCAUGUUUG